rnacentral:rRNA from 1 species
GGGCCCGCACAAGCAGCGGAGCGUGUGGUUUAAUUCGAUGCUACACGAAGAACCUUACCAGGGUUUGACAUGCAAGUGGUAGGAAGCCGAAAGGUGACCGACCCUUCGGGGAGCUUGCACAGGUGCUGCAUGGCUGUCGUCAGCUCGUGUCGUGAGAUGUUCGGUUAAGUCCGCUAACGAGCGCAACCCUCGCUGUGUGUUAUAUGUGUCACACGGGACUGCCGGUCUUAAGCCGGAGGAAGGUGGGGAUGAUGUCAAGUCAGCAUGGCCUUUAUAUCCUGGGCUACACACACGCUACAAUGGCCAACACAAUAGGUUGCUAAGCCGCGAGGUGGCGCCAAUCCAUAAAGUUGGUCUCAGUUCAGAUUGUAGGCUGCAACCCGCCUGCAUGAAGAUGGAGUUGCUAGUAACCGCAGGUCAGCUAUACUGCGGUGAAUACGUUCCCGGGGCUU